rnacentral:rRNA from 1 species
UUCCCCUAGUAACGGCGAGUGAAGCGGGAAGAGCUCAAAUUUAAAAUCUGGCAGUGUAUUCUGUCCGAGUUGUAGUCUAGAGAAGCAUCAUCCGUGCUGGACCAUGUACAAGUCUCUUGGAACAGAGCGUCAUAGAGGGUGAGAAUCCCGUCCUUGACAUGGACCCCCAGUGCUUUGUGUUGUGCUCUCAACGAGUCGAGUUGUUUG